rnacentral:lncRNA from 1 species
UACACUUUGGCUUGCCUGAAUCUUUGCAGCUUGGGAUCCUUCAGUCUGCCUGCCACUCAAAGUUCUGUCUAUGGAGACUUUGAGAGAGGACUGGGCAGUUCCUUGAGAAAACACUGUUGCUCCUGUCAGUGAACUUGAGUCCAUCUCAUAUGCCAAGCAUGAAGAGAAGGUGUUAUACGGACACAAGGUGAGGAGAGACACAGAUACGCCUGUCUCCAUGGACUUAAAGAACCUGCAUAGCCGUCUGUGCCAAGCACAUUGCUGCAUUUUAAAGAAUAAUUGGUCCAACUUGAGAGACCUAUCCCAUGAGAGAGAGCCCCUGACACUGUUACUGAUUCUCUGCUAUACGUGCAGACAGGAGCCUAGCAUAACUGUCUCCUGAGAGGUUUCAUCAAGCAGCGGAUGGAAACAGAUGCAGACAACCCACAGUCAAAGCUUGGGGAGUCUUAGGGAAGAGUAGAGGAGUAGAGUCCAGACUGAGUGAGCUGGAAGGGUCAAGGACUCCUCAGGAAAACCUACAGAGCCAACUAACCUGGGCCCAUGGGGGCUCAUAGAGACUGAACCACCAACCAAAGAGCAUGCAUGGGCUGGAUCUAGGCCCCCCUACACACACAUGUGUAGCAUCUGUGUAGCUUGGUCUUCAUGUGGCUCCCUAACAAUUGGAGCAGGGGCUGUCUCUGACACCGUUGCCUGUCUUUGGAUCCUCUUUCCCUAGCUGGACUUCCUGGUUGGGCCUCAGAGAGAGAGGAUGUGCUUAGUCCUGCUGGGACUGGAUGUCCUUGGGUGGAUGGUACUCAAGGGGAGGGGGUAAGUGGAGGAGGGACCUGUGAGGGUGGGACUGGGAGGAGAGGUGGAGGGGGGCUUUGAUGGGGGUGUAAAUUGAACACAUAACUAUGUAAAUCAAUGGGAAAAAAAAGAAUCUAACCUAAAAGUAAUGCAUAUGUCUACUGUGAUA